UCGCCGCCGAGCAUCGGGAUGCGGCGCUUCGAUGGUGCCGACGAGGUAGAAGGCGGCUUCGGGCAGGUGAUCAUAUUCACCGGCGACGAUC
rnacentral:tRNA from 1 species